rnacentral:ncRNA from 1 species
AAUAUCCUUAUUUAACAGUUAAACGGGAAGUUUGGUAAGUCACUGCUACGCAUACGAAUCCAACGCUGCCCCCGCAACGGUGAUCGGCUUAACUUAUUGUCAUAUGCCACUGUGGUGCUCUCUUUUUAAAUAAAAAGAUCGAGCCUAUGGGAAGGUGCAAUAAGAGGGAAUUUAUUCCCAAGCCGUCAGCCCGGAUACCGGCCUGAAUUUU